UGUAACCCAGACUAAUUAGGGGUUAAAUAAAUAUAUUAAUAUAAAUGUAUGAGGUUUAGAAAAGUAAAUAAUUGAAGAUUGGCAAUAUUAAUGAAUACUUAAGAUAAAAUAAAUUAUGUGAUAAAAAUAAUUUGUAAUAUUUAAACAAAUUAUAGUUUCAUCCAAUCAGAGUUCUGUUGCUAUGGACCGCCCACUUGCUGACGCGGCAGAUUGCGCAAGACCUGAGAAGGGAGAAGACGGGAAAGAAAUUUGUUAAAUUUAGCUAUCAAGAAAUUAAAAAAUAACUGAGUUAAACUUUGAAAAUAGUGUUCAAAUCUCUUCAAGUCAGUUGAAAGAGGAGGAUAUUGAGUGGAUUCAGUUGUUAUUUUACUCCUGUGACGAUCGAUGGGUGAAUUACAUCGUUGUAUUACUGGGAAGUGAAUAUCUGGAUGUGGUCAGGUUUUUUUUUCCUGAGGGGAGAUUGAUUUUCUUUGAUGGCGAGCCAACCUAUUCGGACACUGGAAAAAAGAAGAAGAUUCAUCCUAUAGGACCAGGAGAGUAUCGUGAUUUCAUUUUUUUUCCUUGCUCAAGGUAAAACUAUUCCUGCAUAGAGACUGUGUUUUCUCCAUAUGGGACUGAAAACUGUCUGAGAUAAAUAGAAGAAGGAACUGAUAUCAGUUAUUGAACAUUUGGAAAUUGAACUGAUCGUCGACGUGUGCGUGAUAUCACAAAAUGGUUGUCAUUCUAUCGUUUUCUAUUGUAUUCAUACUAUUCUAGUGUGAAACCAACAGUGAUUUGCUCUAAGUGAUUUGUGCUUUUAUUUCUUUUUGUUGAAUUGAUGUAACUUACUUUGAAUUGUUUUUCAUUUAUUUUAUUGUUUGAUUUCAAAAAGGGGAAAGGCCGGCAUUUAAGGGAACACUUGUAAAAAAAAUCUAUAUACUUACCUUAA